UCAGCUCGCGCACAUCAGCUGUACAGGCAUUAAUACUGAAUGUUUAACAUCAUUCAUAACAUACAUCUGCUUCGUAGACAUCCUUAAUCUCUAAUAACUCCAUGCUGCUUCCUGUUGUUCUGUUGUCGGUGUUUCUUUGUCUGAAUAUGGCACUUAUCACAUGCUGUGUGGUAUCGGGGCAUUUUAACGAGUACGAGUAGGAGUACAGGAGAUCAGUAUCGGGCCCGAUACGUACCGGGUGCAUCCCUAAUAUAGCCUACACCUGAACAAAAACUCCAAAUUUGAGCUUGCUGAAAGAAAUUCAUACAGCUUUGAAACAACUUGAGGGACACAUUUCACUGUAACCUCCUGAGGCGGCUCCUUCUGAAAACAAUUAACUGAAGUACUGCUUAGCAUGGAGGCUCCCCUUGAGUCUUAUAAGCACCUCAGCCAAGUCCAUCAUUAAUCAGAAGAAAAAACAUGGCCACUGAUCAUAGUUCCGUGUGCAGAUUUAUGUCGGUGCUGAUGUGGAAUGAAGAUGGGAAGAGUUUCACAACGUGCGUCUGCUCCAGAAAGAGUUAAGGAAUGUUGUUCAUUGUCACAUGAUGUGGGAGAAGACAGGCAAUAUUCAACACCCCCCGACACCCCCUCCCCGUCGGGCGCACAUCUUGCCCGCAGAUGUGGUGAUACCACAAACACUUCAAAGUACCUCCCCUCAGACCAACUGAUAUUCUGACGCCAACUGUAAAUGUCCUGGACACGCAGAGUGGAAAAUAUGAAACCUUUUAAAUGGCUCUGGAGGAACUCCUUCAGAAAAAGAAGCACUUCCAUUGUGUCUUAGGAAAAGUUAGAACAAAGGAGUGUUCUCAUUCUCUCUGAAAGUUGGCCUCUGUUACAGAAAAAUAACAUUGGCUCUCUGUAAUUUCAAGGAUAAAAAGAAUCUUGGGCUUAAGCUGUUAUGUAAUGUAAUGUUUUGGAUUUGGGGUACUUUUAAGUGUCAAAAGCUUUUUUUUUCUUUUUCUUUUUUUACCAAUACCAUUCAAUAAUGUGCCUUUGAAAUUUUUAUUUUUUUAUGUAUCUUAUGCUCACCAAGGCUGCAUAAAAUAUUGUAAAAUUACAAUUUAUUAUUUUGAUGGCAAAGCUGAAUUUUCAAAAACCAUUAUUCCGGUCUUCAGUGUCACGUGAUUCUUCAGGAAUCAUUCAGAUAUGCUGAUUUAUUGCUCAAGAAACAUUUAUUAUCAUUAUGAAUGUUGAAAACAAUUGUGCUGCUUAAUAGUUUUUUUUCAGAAACGGUGGAUACAUUUUUACUUUUUGAAUAAAUUAAAUAAAAAAUGAAAAAUCCAUUUUUUGAAUUAAAUUAAAUUAAAUUAACAUCCAGCAAUUUUUUUCCUUAAAUGUUUUAUUAGUCAGCUCUGCUUCAGACAGUAAGCAUGCAUGCAAGUUCAAUAUUACCUCUUAAAAGGUCCUCAUGGUAGAGACAGCAAUAUUUUGACCUCAGCCAGACAACAACAAUUUAGAGGCCACAAUAAGAGCAAUAGAAACCGCACCAUAAACCAGCACAAGGAAGUUUAGCAUAUUCAGUUGAUCAGAGUACCGAAUGAUGCAUCCGUUUCUGUCACAGUCUAGACAGACAGUCAUCUUCAGUGUAUUCCAAUGGUCAAGACUGCAUAAACUGAGUAUAAAAACUGUCAUGAUGCUUCAGAAGUGAGAGACAUGGUUGAUCUGAAAUGCUUUGCAAUUAAACUAAGUUUGUAAACAAUGAACUAAACUGUGACUAUCUACCAGAUCAACAGAAAACUGAAAACUUGACAGCAUAACUAGCACAUGUUCUUUUAAUUUAAAGGGUAGAGAAACUCACACCUGAUCUUGUUGGGAGAUCCAGCCAUGAUAGAUGUAUAAGGUAAUAGGGAGUGUGUUUAGAGUGAAUGUUAUGACACCCCUGAAGUGGCCUGCUGGUGUUGUACUGGUUCACAGUUGACAGGCUGAGAGAGUUCAGCUCCAUAUGGAACAUAUAUCACUCAAUCUUCCUAACUGCUGCUGCUGCUGCACUUAUUAAACUCGCUUUAACACAUGGCAAGUGGGCUUCACACUGCAAGUUUCGCGCACACUCUCACACGCUUAACUCUUUGUGGUCAGCUCCAUAUAUUUCACUGGCCCUGGCUACUGCAGGAGGAUUUGAUUAGUGUGAGAUGCUGAGAUCUGUCAUCUUUUCAAGCUUAGCCAUAAAGACAUUUUUCAUUUCUCAGUGGACUUUAUUGGCUGCACGCUUGGUUGAAGGGACACAAUGCGUACAAACUCUAAACAGCCAGAACAGUUUGUUGUCCUUUUGCUGUCCCUUUUUCUGUGUGUGUGUGUUUUUUUUAAGUAAUUAACUUAGAAAUAUUCCCAUUGUGUUUCAGUUGUUUAUGGUAAGGAGGAAAGUAUGUUUUAUAGCUAGCGCACAAAAGCUGAUGGUAAUACUGAAUCUGAAACUAACAUUGCACUACCAUUCAAAUGUUUGUGGUUAGUAUGAUUUUUAAACUUGUUUAUUAUUCGCAAUGAUGCAUUAAAUUGAUCAAAAUUGACAAUAAAGAGAUUUAAAAUGUUACAAAGUAUUUCUGUUUCAAGUAAAUGCUGUUCUUUUGAACUAAUAUUCAUCAAAGAAUCCUGAAAAAUGUAUCACAGUUUCCACCAAAAAUAUUAAGUAAAAUGUGUCAAUAUUUUUUAAGCAGAAAAUCAGCAUAUUAGAAUGAUUUCUGAAGGAUCAUGCGACACUGAAGACUGGAGA